rnacentral:rRNA from 1 species
UACGUAGGGGGCAAGCGUUGUCCGGAAUCAUUGGGCGUAAAGCGCGUGUAGGCGGCCCGGUAAGUCCGCUGUGAAAGUCGGGGGCUCAACCCUCGGAUGCCGGUGGAUACUGUCGGGCUUGAGUACGGAAGAGGCGAGUGGAAUUCCUGGUGUAGCGGUGAAAUGCGCAGAUAUCAGGAGGAACACCAAUUGCGAAGGCAGCUCGCUGGGACGUUACUGACGCUGAGACGCGAAAGCCAGGGGAGCGAACGGG